GGACUACACGGGUAUCUAAUCCCGUUCGCUACCUACGCUUUCGUGUAUGAGCGUCAGGAGUGCGCCAGUGAAUUGCCUUCGCAUUUGGUGUUCCCCAUGAUAUCAACGGAUUUCACCCCUACACCAUGAGUUCCAUUCACCUCUCGCACCCUCAAAGCGAUGCCGUUUCCUCCGCGUCUCUCAGGUUGAGCCUAAGGCUUUCACGGAAGACUAACAUCGCCGCCUGCACACCCUUUACGCCCAGUGAUUCCGGGUAACGCUUGAGGCCUCUGUAUUACCGCGGCUGCUGGCAC
rnacentral:rRNA from 1 species